rnacentral:rRNA from 1 species
ACGCUCGACACCUACGGGAGGCAGCAGUAGGGGAAUCUUCCACAAUGGGCGGCAAGCCUGAUGGAGCAACACCGCGUGAGUGAAGAAGGGUUUCGGCUCGUAAAGCUCUGUUGUUGGAGAAGAACGUGCGUGAGAGUAACUGUUCACGCAGUGACGGUAUCCAACCAGAAAGUCACGGCUAACUACGUGCCAGAAGCCGCGGUAAUCUGAGCGGGCUGGCAAGGC